GCCUUCUGAUAACAUGGAACGGUUACUUUGAAAUGAAGAUGUAAUAUUGAUUACCAUGGUAACUAAUGUGAGCUUUUGAAAUGUUCAUUUGAAAGAAACAAUGGUAAAGUUCUUUCCUAAAUAAGAUCAGUGAUAAUGCACCUUGAUGUGCAUUUCAGCAGUGCAAAUAGAAAAGGAAAUGGCUAGUUUUGCCAGUAUUGAUAUUUUUUUUGGUAUUUCAGAAGAAGAUAGUUUUGGAUCAGACAUGGACUAAUCAGCAAAUGGUGCAAGCAGCAUCAAAGGGUGGUGGUGGAGGAGAACCAGCGGCCAAGAGAGUCAGACUCGGCCACCACCAAGGCAGUAUGGGCGGCCAGCAGAAUUUUUCUCACAUUCAGCGAAAUCAUCCUAGUCAGCAACAUCCGGGUCAUGUCCAACAGGGUGGGAUGAUGAGCUACAACAACACUCAACAGAACGGAAAUUUCAGCCAUGGCCAGAGAUAUUAAAGAAUAGUAGUAAUAAUAAUAAUAAAAUACUGUUCAUAUUUAUUGUUAUGGCAUUACCUACUGUACUACAUCCCAGGGUGAUGUUGAAGGUGAUUUAAAAAAAAAAAAAAGUU